rnacentral:rRNA from 1 species
GACGUAGGGCGCGAGCGUUGUCCGGAUUUAUUGGGCGUAAAGAGCUCGUAGGCGGCUUGUCGCGUCGUUCGUGAAAACCUGCAGCUCAACUGCAGGCUUGCGGUCGAUACGGGCAGGCUAGAGUUCGGUAGGGGAGACUGGAAUUCCUGGUGUAGCGGUGAAAUGCGCAGAUAUCAGGAGGAACACCUGUGGCGAAGGCGGCCCCCUGGGCCGGCCCUGACACUGAGACGCGAAGGCGUGGGGAGCGAACGGG